CAUUUUCACACACCAUUUUAUUCAAAUGUCAGAUUACUCCAUCUCUAUUGCUGAGGAGGUUAAGAUUCAGGACCCUGACAAGAAUCAACCAGCAAAGCUCAAAGAUUCCUCCAUCUUCUUGGCUGGUGCUGAGGUCAAACAGACCCAGUGCAAAGAUGUCUCCUUGGUUGCUGCAGCUGAGUCAAAGACUCUGAACCCUCAGGAGGAGCAGCCAGCAAAGUGUAAAG